rnacentral:rRNA from 1 species
UACGUAGGGCGCAAGCGUUGUCCGGAAUUAUUGGGCGUAAAGAGCUCGUAGGCGGUUUGUCGCGUCUGCUGUGAAAUCCCGAGGCUCAACCUCGGGCUUGCAGUGGGUACGGGCAGACUAGAGUGCGGUAGGGGAGACUGGAAUUCCUGGUGUAGCGGUGGAAUGCGCAGAUAUCAGGAGGAACACCGGUGGCGAAGGCGGCGAUCUGGGUAGAUACUGACGCUGAGGUGCGAAAGCGUGGGGAGCAAACAGG